rnacentral:rRNA from 1 species
AACGAACGCUGGCGGCAGGCCUGAAACAUGCAAGUCGAACGAACCUUCGGGUUAGUGGCGCACGGGUGCGUAACGCGUGGGAAUGUGCCUCUGGGUGCGGAACAACGUCGGGAAACUGACGCUAAUACCGCAUAAUAUCUACGGAUCAAAGAUUUAUCGCCCAGAGAUCAGUCCGCGUCUGAUUAGGUAGUUGGUAGGGUAAUGGCCUACCAAGCCUACGAUCAGUAGCUGGUCUGAGAGGAUGAUCAGCCACACUGGAACUGAGACACGGUCCAGACUCCUACGGGAGGCAGCAGUUAGGAAUAUUGGACAAUGGGGGAAACCCUGAUCCAGCCAUGCCGCGUGUGUGAGGAAGGCCUUAGGGUUGUAAAGCACUUUCGUCUAUGAAGAUAAUGACAGUAGUAGAAGAAGAAGCUCCGGCUAAAUUCGUGCCAGCCGCCGCUGUAA